rfam:Puccinia graminis f. sp. tritici CRL 75-36-700-3 supercont2.67 genomic scaffold, whole genome shotgun sequence.
GGACAGAUGGCCGAGUGGUCUAAGGCGCCGUCUUAAGGAGGUCCCAGGGACGUCCUGAGGCGUUCCAAUGGCAAUCCGGCGGUCUUCGGGCGUGGGUUCGAAUCCCACUCUGUUCA